ensembl:snoRNA SNORD115 Small nucleolar RNA SNORD115
GGGUCAGUGAUGAUAACUUAUUGUCCUUAAGUGAGAUAAUGACCUGAAAAUCAUAACCAAUAGAAUUUUGAUGGAGAUAAACCU